rfam:Delta proteobacterium NaphS2 ctg_1101087565152, whole genome shotgun sequence.
UCCUCUGGCGGGUUGCGUGCGGAAGCCUUCGGGCUUGCCGGUCUCCUGUUGGGCCGGUCUGCGAACCGCAUGCAGCCCGCCUUUUUU